rnacentral:rRNA from 1 species
GACGAAGGAUCCAAGCGUUAUCCGGAUUUAUUGGGUUUAAAGGGUGCGUAGGCGGAUUGAUAAGUCAGUGGUGAAAGCCUGCAGCUUAACUGCAGGACUGCCAUUGAUACUGUCAAUCUUGAAUAUGUUUGAUGUGGGCGGAAUAUGACAUGUAGCGGUGAAAUGCUUAGAUAUGUAAUAGAACACCGAUUGCGAAGGCAGCUCACAAAGCCAUUAUUGACGCUGAGGCACGAAAGCGUGGGGAUCAAACAGG